rnacentral:rRNA from 1 species
CGACGUGAGGAACCUGCCUCAAAGAGGGGGACAACAGUUGGAAACGACUGCUAAUACCGCAUAAGCCCAUAGCUCGGCAUCGAGCAGAGGGAAAAGGAGUGAUCCGCUUUGAGAUGGCCUCGCGUCCGAUUAGCUAGUUGGUGAGGUAAUGGCCCACCAAGGCGACGAUCGGUAGCCGGACUGAGAGGCUGAACGGCCACAUUGGGACUGAGACACGGCCCAG